rnacentral:rRNA from 1 species
AACGAACGUUAGCGGCGCGCCUAACACAUGCAAGUCGCACGAGAAAGGGCUUCGGCCCCGGUAAAGUGGCGCACGGGUGAGUAACACGUAGGCAAUCUGCCCUAAAGUGGUGGAUAACCCUCCGAAAGGAGGGCUAAUACAGCAUGAGACCACGGCAUCUACGGAUGCUGCGGCCAAAGUAGGCCUCUCCACGGAAGCUUACGCUAUAGGAUGAGCCUGCGGCCCAUCAGCUUGUUGGCGAGGUAAUAGCUCACCAAGGCUAAGACGGGUAGCUGGUCUGAGAGGAUGAACAGCCACACUGGAACUGAGACACGGCCCAGACUCCUACGGGAGGCAGCAGUGGGGAAUCUUGCACAAUGGGCGAAAGCCUGAUGCAGCGACGCCGCGUGAGCGAUGAAGGCCUCGGUGU